AUGUCGCAAUAUUGGUGGGGUGAUGAGGAGGACCAACGAAGGAUGCAUUGGUUUGCAUGGUGGAAGAUGUGUAUUCCGAAGGAGAGAGGAGGUAUGGGAUUUCGGGAUAUUCAUAGCUUUAACUUGUCAAUGUUGGCAAAGCAAUGUUGGAGACUAAUUGAGAACUUUGGUUCAUUAUGUGCACGAGUUCUCAGAGCCAAGUACUACCCUACAGGAGAUAUUCUGAAUUGUCAACUCAAGAAGGGGUCAUCCUAUGUGUGGCAAAGCAUUUAGUCUGGAAUUCAAAUGUUCAAGAAGGGUUACAUUUGGAGAGUAGGCAAUGGAGAAAAGAUUAAUAUAUGGGAUGCCUGUUGGAUCCCG
rnacentral:rRNA from 1 species